rnacentral:rRNA from 1 species
CAAUACCGCGUGAGGGAGGAAGGCUCUUGGGUCGUAAACCUCUUUUCUCAAGGAAGAAUGCAAUGACGGUACUUGAGGAAUAAGCAUCGGCUAACUCCGUGCCAGCAGCCGCGGUAAUACGGAGGAUGCAAGCGUUAUCCGGAAUGAUUGGGCGUAAAGGGUCUGUAGGUGGUACUGAAAGUCUGCUGUUAAAGAGCAAGGCUCAACCUUGUAAGAGCAGUGGAAACUACAGAACUAGAGUGCGGUAGGGGCAAAAGGAAUUUCCUGGUGUAGCGGUGAAAUGCGUAGAUAUCAGGAAGAACACCGGUGGCGAAAGCGUUUUGCUAGACCGCAACUGACACUGAGGGACGAAAGCUAGGGGAGCGAAUGGGAUUAGAUACCCCAGUAGUCCUAGCCGUAAACGAUGGAUACUAGGCGUGGCUUGUAUCGACCCGAGCCGUGCCGGAGCUAACGCGUUAAGUAUCCCGCCUGGGGAGUACGCACGCAAGUGUGAAACUCAAAGGAAUUGACGGGGGCCCGCACAAGCGGUGGAGUAUGUGGUUUAAUUCGAUGCAACGCGAAGAACCUUACCAAGACUUGACAUCCUGCGAAUUUUCCUGAAAGGGAAAAGUGCCUUCGGGAGCGCAGAGACAGGUGGUGCAUGGCUGUCGUCAGCUCGUGUCGUGAGAUGUUGGGUUAAGUCCCGCAACGAGCGCAACCCUCGUUUUUAGUUGCCAGCAUUAAGAUGGGCACUCUAGAGAGACUGCCGGUGACAAACCGGAGGAAGGUGAGGAUGACGUCAAGUCAGCAUGCCCCUUACGUCUUGGGCUACACACGUACUACAAUGCUACGGACAAAGGGCGGCUACACAGCGAUGUGAUGCAAAUCUCAGAAACCGUAGCUCAGUUCAGAUCGAAGGCUGCAACUCGCCUUCGUGAAGGAGGAAUCGCUAGUAAUUGCAGGUCAGCAUACUGCAGUGAAUUCGUUCC